UAGAGUUUGAUCCUGGCUCAGGACGAACGCUGGCGGCGUGCCUAACACAUGCAAGUCGAGCGGAGACAUUAAGGAGCUUGCUCCGAGAUGUUUUAGCGGCGGACGGGUGAGUAACGCGUGAGCAAUCUGUCCCAUACAGGGGGAUAACACUUGGAAACAGGUGCUAAUACCGCAUGAGACCACAACGUCACAUGGCGAAGGGGUCAAAGGAGCAAUCCGGUAUGGGGUGAGCUCGCGUCCGAUUAGCUAGUUGGUGAGGUAACGGCCCACCAAGGCGACGAUCGGUAGCCGACCUGAGAGGGUGAUCGGCCACAUUGGAACUGAGAGACGGUCCAAACUCCUACGGGAGGCAGCAGUGGGGAAUAUUGGGCAAUGGGCGAAAGCCUGACCCAGCAACGCCGCGUGAGGGAAGAAGGUUUUCGGAUUGUAAACCUCUGUCCUUGGGGACGAAGGAAGUGACGGUACCCAAGGAGGAAGCCCCGGCUAACUACGUGCCAGCAGCCGCGGUAAUACGUAGGGGGCGAGCGUUGUCCGGAAUGACUGGGCGUAAAGGGCGCGUAGGCGGCUUGAUAAGUUAGAAGUGAAAGUCCUGCUUUCAAGGUGGGAAUUGCUUUUAAUACUGUUGAGCUUGAGUGCAGAAGAGGUAAGCGGAAUUCCAAGUGUAGCGGUGAAAUGCGUAGAAAUUUGGAAGAACACCAGUGGCGAAGGCGGCUUACUGGGCUGUAACUGACGCUGAGGCGCGAAAGCGUGGGGAGCGAACAGGAUUAGAUACCCUGGUAGUCCACGCGGUAAACGAUGAAUGCUAGGUGUAGGGGGUAUCGACCCCUCCCUGUGCCGGAGUAAACGCAAUAAGCAUUCCGCCUGGGGAGUACGGCCGCAAGGUUGAAACUCAAAGGAAUUGACGGGGGCCCGCACAAGCAGCGGAGCAUGUGGUUUAAUUCGACGCAACGCGAAGAACCUUACCAGGUCUUGACAUCGAUGUAAAGCCCAAGAGAUUGGGUGUCUCUUCGGAGGACAGAAGACAGGUGGUGCAUGGUUGUCGUCAGCUCGUGUCGUGAGAUGUUGGGUUAAGUCCCGCAACGAGCGCAACCCUUAUGAUCAGUUACUAACGGGUAAAGCCGAGGACUCUGAUGAGACCGCCGGGGACAACUCGGAGGAAGGUGGGGACGACGUCAAAUCAUCAUGCCCCUUAUGACCAGGGCUACACACGUGCUACAAUGGCGUAACAAAGGGAAGCGAGAGCGUGAGCUGGAGCAAAUCCCAAAAAUAACGUCCCAGUUCG
rnacentral:rRNA from 1 species